rnacentral:lncRNA from 1 species
CCUGUUUCUGACCCUUAAAUAUGCUCUUUGAUCGCGUUAGCGUUUGAAGAACAGCUGGCUUAUUGUCCAUACCGACUGAACCUUUGGGCUAUGGGUGAAUAUAAAAGCCACACUCCCCCUUAACAUUCUACUUGUCCGGACAGUUUUCAGAGUUCUCAGAAGGUCAGAAUGAAAAUGUGCUUGUUCGGAGGAGCCCAAUUCCCGAGGCCUUGUCCUUCCUGGUCAGGGCAGCUCAGAAACUGAGCCUGACUGUAAGGAGGAAGGGCCAAACGACCGCCCACUCUUCUGCGUGUUCUGCCCCAGUUCCCACCUGCUACCGGGACAUCAUCCAGAGGACUCCCCCCCGAGUCCCCGCUUGCCUCAUUAAAGCUGCCAACGGAGUCACCGGCGGCAGCGUCGGCAAGGUGAACUGCUGUACUCGUGUUUCACCUCAGCUUUCAUCGACUGGGUUUUUCAUUUAAAACACCUACGUUGUUCUUCAUGACUUGAUUAAAUAAAAUGUCAAUGAAUGU